GACGAACCACACAAACGUUUAUUCGGAAUUACUGGGCUUAAAAGGGUGCGUAGGCUGCGCAGUAAGUUGGGUGUGAAAUACCUCGCUCAACCCGAGGAACUGCGCCCAAAACUACUGUGCUUGAGGAAGAUAGAGGUAAGCGAACUUACGGUGGAGCGGUGAAAUGCGUUGAUAUCGUAAGGAACACCUGUGGCGAAAGCGGCUUCUGGGUCUUUUUCUGACGCUGAUGCACGAAAGCUAGGGGAGCAAACGGG
rnacentral:rRNA from 1 species